UACAGAGGUCUCAAGCGUUGUUCGGAUUCAUUGGGCGUAAAGGGUGCGUAGGCGGCGCGGUAAGUCGGGUGUGAAAUCUUGGAGCUUAACUCCGAAACUGCAUUCGAUACUGCCGUGCUUGAGGACUGGAGAGGAGACCGGAAUUUACGGUGUAGCGGUGAAAUGCGUAGAUAUCGUAAGGAAGACCAGUGGCGAAGGCGGGUCUCUGGACAGUUC
rnacentral:rRNA from 1 species